rnacentral:rRNA from 1 species
UACGUAGGGUGCGAGCGUUAAUCGGAAUUACUGGGCGUAAAGGGUGGGCAGGCGGCCGUGUCAGAUGGGUGUGAAAUCUCCCGGCUCAACCGGGAGGGGCCACUCGUGACUGCACGGCUGGAGGGCAGCAGAGGCGCGUGGAAUUCCGGGUGGAGUGGUGAAAUGCGCAGAUAUCAGGAGGAACACCGGUGGCGAAGGCGGGUCUCUGGGCCGAUACUGACGCUGAGGAGCGAAAGCGUGGGGAGCGAACAGG